GGCACGGUGGCUUAGUGGCGAGCGUGGUUGCCUCACACCUCCAGGGCUGGGGGUUCAAUUCCCACCUCUGCCC